UAAGGAAUAUUGGACAAUGGGCGAAAGCCUGAUGCAGCAACGCCGCGUGAGCGAUGAAGGCCUGCGGGUCGUAAAGCUCUGUCCUCAAGGAAGAUAAUGACGGUACUUGAGGAGGAAGCCCCGGCUAACUACGUGCCAGCAGCCGCGGUAAUACGUAGGGGGCUAGCGUUAUCCGGAAUUACUGGGCGUAAAGGGUGCGUAGGUGGUUUCUUAAGUCAGAGGUGAAAGGCUACGGCUCAACCGUAGUAAGCCUUUGAAACUGGGAAACUUGAGUGCAGGAGAGGAGAGUGGAAUUCCUAGUGUAGCGGUGAAAUGCGUAGAUAUUAGGAGGAACACCAGUGGCGAAGGCGGCUUUCUGGACUGUAACUGACACUGAGGCACGAAAGCGUGGGGAGCAAACA
rnacentral:rRNA from 1 species